GUGCUACCUGGUCAUUCUGUACCUUUAUUUAAAGAGGCCACAUAUCUUUUUUCUGACUUGAAUAAACUGAAACCAGAUGACUCAGGAGUUAAUAUAGCAGAAGCUGCUGCCCAGAACGUGUACUGCUUGAGAACAGAAUACAUUGCUGAUUAUCUCAUGCAGGUAGGAAUCCUCAACCUGUGCCUAGGAUUCAGCAACAAACCACCUGGAACACAUGGUCUCUUAGCACUUGAAGAGGUUAAAGCCUAACCUGCUAUGUGACUGUAGACAGAGGCUUUAUAAGGGGAUUAAAUGAGGUCAUAAGAAUGAGUCCCUAACCCAACAGGACUAGUGUCCUAGUAAGAAGAGGGAGGCACAUCAUGAGUUUGCCUGCACGGAGGAAAAGCCCUGUGAGGACACGGGGAGGGCAGCUAUCUGUCUACACACCAGGAAGAAAUGUCUCACCAGAUACCAACCCUUGGCCAUCUCCUUGAUUUUGGAUUUCCAACCUCCAGAACUGUGAGAAAAUAAAUUUCUGUUUAAGCCA
rnacentral:sRNA from 1 species